rnacentral:misc_RNA from 1 species
GAAAUGCGAUAAGUAAUGUGAAUUGCAGAAUUCAGUGAAUCAUCGAAUCUUUGAACGCACCUUGCGCUCCUUGGUAUUCCUUGGAGCAUGCCUGUUUGAGUAUCAUGAAAUCUUCAAAGUAAAACUUUUGUUAACUCAAUUGGUUUCUACUUUGGUAUUGGAGGUCUUUGCAGCUUCACACCUGCUCCUCUUUGUUCAUUAGCUGGAUCUCAGUGUUAUGCUUGGUUCCACUCGGCGUGAUAAGUUAUCUAUCGCUGAGGACACUGUAAAAGGUGGCCAAGGUAAAUGCAGAUGAACCGCUUCUAAUAGUCCAUUGACUUGGACAAUACUUUUAUGAUCUGAUCUCAAAUCAGGUAGGACUACCCGCUGAACUUAAGC